rnacentral:rRNA from 1 species
GAUGAACGCUGGCGGCGUGCCUAAUACAUGCAAGUCGAGCGAACAGAUGAGGAGCUUUCUCCUCUGACGUUAGCGGCGGACGGGUGAUUAACACGUGGAUAACCUACCUAUAAGACUGGGAUAACUUCGGGAAACCGUAUCUAAUACCGGAUAAUAUAUUGAACCGCAUGGUUCAAUAGUGAAAGACGGUAUUUCUUUCACUUAUAGAUGAAUCCGCGCCGCAUUAGCUAGUUGGUAAGGUAACGGCUUACCAAGGCAACGAUGCGUAGCCGACCUGAGAGGGGGAUCGGACACACGGGAAGUGAGAAACGGUCCAGACUCCGACGGGAGGCAGCAGUAGGGAAUCUUACGCAAUGGGGGAGAGCCUGACAGAGCAAAGCCGCGGGAGUGAUGAAGGUCUUAGGAUCGUAAAACUAUGUUAUUAGGGAAGAACAAAUGUGUAAGUAACUAUGAACAUAUUGACGGUACCUAAUCAGAAAGCCACGGCUAACUCCGUG